rnacentral:rRNA from 1 species
UACGAAGGGGGCUAGCGUUGCUCGGAAUCACUGGGCGUAAAGGGUGCGUAGGCGGGUCUUUAAGUCAGGGGUGAAAUCCUGGAGCUCAACUCCAGAACUGCCUUUGAUACUGAGGAUCUUGAGUUCGGGAGAGGUGAGUGGAACUGCGAGUGUAGAGGUGAAAUUCGUAGAUAUUCGGAAGAACACCAGUGGCGAAGGCGACAUACUGGUCCGUUACUGACACUGAGGCUCGAAAGCGUGGGGAGCAAACAGG